rnacentral:tRNA from 1 species
UGGCAGGUGCCCCGAAUGGUAAGGGACCCGGCUGUUAACCGGGCGGUGCGCGAGCACCAUGUAGGUUCGAGUCCUACCCUGCCAG